rnacentral:tmRNA from 1 species
GGGGGCGAACAGGGUUCGACGGGAAUGUAAGGAAGUGAUGGCAGCAGGUAGGAGUUGGUCGAAGGCUCCUUAAAAAUCGACUAAAAAAUAAACAACAUUAAAAAUGUUGCGCAUAGACCCAAUUUUGGGUUUAUGCCUUUAGCCGCUUAAACGGCUCGUUUUACCUGAGACUCCUGCUAUUAGGAUAAAACGUCAAAAGCAGGGUAGUUUUAAGCGGCUUGUUCCGUCAGCUUAAAAUGAAAUCAAAACGGAGCUGGUUUAGGCUGUAAUCCCGUCCGGAGACGGCAGCUUAAACGAGACCAAAUUCCGGGCUAAACCUGUAGCGGCCGCAUUGCCGCAUUUUCGGACGCGGGUUCAAUUCCCGCCGCCUCCACCA